ACAUUUACCUUUUUAUUGCUGGGCCUCAGGGCCAAUAAAAUUAUAGCUUGUGCAAUUCAUUUUCAUAAUGCAUUGAUUGCUUUAAUCAUAUGUUUUCUCCCAAGUGUCUGAGAGGGUUGGGGAGAGUGGCCACGAAAGUGUCAGGGUCCAUCACUGAAAGGGAAACCCAGAUUCUCUUUGACUUAAGAGGCCUGAUCACUGGGAGGCGCCCUCUGGGCCUGGGCCGUUGCGUCUGGUUUUAGCGUGUGUUUGCUAGAGCGGUUGUGGCCUGUGUAAGCGCAGUAGCCCCAGCUCCUGGGGAGUGUUAGGGAGGACUCUGACGGCUCCGUGCACUCCCAGUGCGGGGUCUCACAUCAUCAAGGUCCUACUGACGAGGGCUGGCUCAGGUCACUUUUAUGACAAAACAGCUGUGACCUGCUGAUAAAACAACAGGGCCUGCGAACAGAGGAAUUCCCCACGUGCCAUGGACACAGACCGCAGAGGCAGAGUGACUCUGCAGUUAAUGCCUCUUAAGUGUUUUCUGACUUCUGGCUCUGCGUCUCUGGACGAACAGCGAUGGUGGACUGGUUGCUGGUGUUCCAUUGGAAUUCUGGAGCCACAGAAAUUUAAGAGCGGAAGGGUGUGACCUGAGAGACGGGAUUGUGAAUGAAAAUACGUACAGAGCCCACUCACAUCGGUGAGGCAGGAUGGCAGGAGGCAAUUGGAAGCCAUACAGAUGGCAGAGAGUGUCUCAGCCACGAAGACAGCCCCUGCACACUCCAGCUGUCUGUGCUCCACAGGAUGACAUCGAUGAGGCUGGAGCGGCCACCUGUUAAAGGAGAAAUCCAGAAUGUUCUUGUGAAAUCUUUCAAUUUUAAAGUGUUGAUGGCUGCCAAAUCUUAUAACCUUUGUAUUCUGUUCAGUAAACAUAAUUCCUGCCUCUUUUUUCUUUUUACAUUCAUCUUUCGAUGGGCUCAAUCUUAUGAUCUCAAAUAGUUUUAAUUAAUUUGUUAAGUUAUUAAUUUAGAGCUCAUAUGUGGGAAAUUUCCUGUGGGUUGAAGUAUUUAAGAAUGGCUGACAUUUAUUUGCAUGGAAUCAGGCCUUGGUUAUAGACUGGUCUUAGGUCACAAUGUUUUUCCUUAAUCCUUUGAAAAUUUCAGACUUUCUUCACCCUGUCAAUUCUGCUUAUUUUCUUCCUGGAACCAUAAAGAAUCUUUUCUUUAUUUAAUUACUUAUUUAAAUAAAGUUAUAGAUGUAUAUAAUUUUAAGAAACCUAACAGUUGUACUACACCUGCAGUGAAAGCAUAGUACCUCCUAACGCAACUUUUAAAACUUGAGAGAGGCAGGAGAGUUUGUAAGAGUGGUAAAUGUCUCUCAAAGCCCCUCUAAAAUGGAAACAUGUUUAAAGAAAUAAAACACAAUGAUUCUAAAAAAUAAUUUUGAUAGAAAUUGGUUUACUAAAAUAGUGGGCCACGUGAAAUACAUCCACAGGCCAGAUUCAGCUCAGAGGCCGUCACUGUUCAGUUCCAGGUUACGAGAUACAUUUAGCAACCUGAGACUGUCUGCCCAGCCAAGGGUGGGUAACUAAUGGUUUCCCCAGGGUCAGCAUGAGGAGGGCAGGUUGGGGAGCAGUGAUGUCUCCUCUCUAUCCUUGAGGCGACUGGGGGCUCACCCUACAGUGUGGUUUCGAGUUGCCCCCCGUGAAGAUCUCUGCGCUGUUGGGUCCCACCGACGCCUCGCCCUUCAAAUCCUUUUAUCCUUAGAUUCAGCACCUGGUCUGGCCCUUGGUGUUGAUUUCCCAGCAUGUUGUGAGAAUCUUAAGGAAAGGACCA
ensembl:lncRNA